rnacentral:rRNA from 1 species
GACGGAGGAUGCAAGCGUUAUCCGGAAUGAUUGGGCGUAAAGCGUCUGUAGGCGGCUUUUUAAGUCUGCCGUCAAAUCCCAGGGCUUAACCCUGGACAGGCGGUGGAAACUACCAAGCUGGAGUACGGUAGGGGCAGAGGGAAUUUCCGGUGGAGCGGUGAAAUGCGUAGAGAUCGGGAAGAACACCAACGGCGAAAGCACUCUGCUGGGCCGACACUGACACUGAGAGACGAAAGCGAGGGGAGCGAAUGGG